UACGUAGGGGGCAAGCGUUGUCCGGAAUCAUUGGGCGUAAAGAGCGUGUAGGCGGCCAGAUAAGUCCGCUGUGAAAUCUCGAGGCUCAACUUCGAGCUGUCGGUGGAAACUGUCUGGCUAGAGUCCGGAAGAGGAGAAUGGAAUUCCUGGUGUAGCGGUGAAAUGCGCAGAUAUCAGGAAGAACACCGGUGGCGAAAGCGCUCUACUGGACCUCAACUGACACUGAGGGACGAAAGCUAGGGGAGCGAAAGGG
rnacentral:rRNA from 1 species